CUACGGGGGGCUCCAGUCGGGGAACUUUCGCAAUGCGCGAAAGCGUGACAAAGCAAGCCAGAGUGUUUUUCUUAAUAGAGAAACUUUUGUCUGCUGUAAAAAGGCAGACGAAUAAGGACUGGGCAAGACCGGUGCCAGCCGCCGCGGUAAUACCGGCGGUCCAAGUCGCAGCCACAAUUAUUGGGUCUAAAAUAUCUGUAGCUUGUUUUGCAAGUCUCUUGUGAAAUCUUACAUCUUAAGUGUAAGGCAUGCAAGAGAUACUGCAUUACUAGAGACCGGAAGACGUAGCGAGUACGACCAAGGUAGUGGUAAAAUACGUUAAUCUUGGUUGGACUAACAAUUGGCGAAGGCACGCUACGAGGACGGAUCUGACAGUGAGGGAUGAAGGCCAGGGGCGCAAAAUGGAUUAGAUACCCUUGUAGUC
rnacentral:rRNA from 1 species